rnacentral:rRNA from 1 species
AGUGAACGCUGGCGGUAGGCCUAACACAUGCAAGUCGAACGGCAGCACAGUAAGAGCUUGCUCUUACGGGUGGUGAGUGGCGGACGGGUGAGGAAUACAUCGGAAUCUACUUUUUCGUGGGGGAUAACGUAGGGAAACUUACGCUAAUACCGCAUACGACCUACGGGUGAAAGCAGGGGAUCUUCGGACCUUGCGCGAUUGAAUGAGCCGAUGUCGGAUUAGCUAGUUGGCGGGGUAAAGGCCCACCCAGGCGCCGAUCCGUAGCUGGUCUGAGAGGAUGAUCGGCCACACUGGAACUGAGACACGGUCCAGGCUCCUGCGGGAGGCAGCAGUGGGGAAUAUUGGACAAUGGGCGCAAGCCUGAUCCAGCCAUACCGCGUGGGUGAAGAAGGCCUUCGGGUUGUAAAGCCCUUUUGUUGGGAAAGAAAAGCAGCAGGUUAAUACCCCGCUGUUCUGACGGUACCCAAAGAAUAAGCACCGGCUAACUUCGUG